UGCAAGUCGAACGGACCUUCGGGUCAGUGGCGGACGGGUGAGUAACGCGUGAGAAUCUGCCCUCAGGAGGGGGAUAACGGCUGGAAACGGCCGCUAAUACCCCAUAUGCCGCGAGGUGAAAUGAAUUUCGCCUGAGGAUGAGCUCGCGUCUGAUUAGCUAGUUGGUGGGGUAAAGGCCUACCAAGGCGACGAUCAGUAGCUGGUCUGAGAGGAUGAUCAGCCACACUGGGACUGAGACACGGCCCAGACUCCUACGGGAGGCAGCAGUGGGGAAUUUUCCGCAAUGGGCGAAAGCCUGACGGAGCAACGCCGCGUGAGGGAUGAAGGCCUCUGGGCUGUAAACCUCUUUUCUCCAGGAAGAAGACCUGACGGUACUUGAGGAAUAAGCCACGGCUAAUUCCGUGCCAGCAGCCGCGGUAAUACGGGAGUGGCAAGCGUUAUCCGGAAUUAUUGGGCGUAAAGCGUCCGCAGGCGGCCCUGUAAGUCUGUCGUUAAAGCGUGGAGCUUAACUCCAUUUAAGCGAUGGAAACUACAGG
rnacentral:rRNA from 1 species